UAGCCAUGCUCACUUUUAUUUUUUCAAAAUGCCCAGGAUCACAGCAUUUUUCAUUCAGGUAAAUUGCACUCAGCAAUGGCAUACUGUGGGAUGAAAAAUGUUUGUCCACGAGUCAGAUGAUUCCUGAUAUUCUUCAAAACAUGUGGAACAUCAGGCAUAAAUAUCCCAAAUUCCCGAAGAACAGCCUGGUUGCCCCCU